ACCAUUUUCCCAAUCUUAUCGAGUAAACCUAACAAUGCAUCUCCUCCGCGCUGUCAAGGACGACGCUCCACUUUCACCAUGCCGGUUUCUCCCCUCCUUAACUAUCGAUCCAUUCCGUUUCACCAUUUGAUGCAUGGGGAAUGAGUAAGAGAAUCUAUGUGUGUCGUCGGAACCGAAUGUUGUUGUUGAAAUCAGCGGAUUGAAUCAGUAUUCCAAUUCGCGAGUUUCAUCAAAGGAUCGACAUUAAUUCGCGAAAACCAAUAUCAGCGAUGAGCCGUACUAUAGUGAUGGAGGGCUUAUCGGUUCUUCAAAUCUCAGAUCAGUUCUUGGCUGCCGCCAUUGAUGCUACUUAAAAAGCUGGACAGGUCAUUCAUAAAGGGUUUUACAAGACCAAACAUGUUGAACACAAAGGCCAGGCGGAUUUGGUGACGGAGACUAAUAAGGAUUUGAAGAUUUCGUCUUUAAUCAUCUCAAGCAGCUUUUCCCAACCACAAGCUUAUUGGACAAGAAACUACUGCUGCAUUCGGUGUGACAGAACAAACUUGGAUUGUUUAUCCUCUUGAUGGAACUUCUAAUUUCGUUCGAGGGUGCGACACCUCAGUUCUUGGGCUGAAACAUCGUUUCAACUUUGAAUUGUAAGUUAGUACAUAUUCUCCUUCUUUUCUAAUCACUUUAUCAAUGAGCAUAU